GAUGAACGCUGGCGGCGUGCUUAACACAUGCAAGUCGAACGGGAAAUAUUUCAUUGAGACUUCGGUGGAUUUGAUUUAUUUCUAGUGGCGGACGGGUGAGUAACGCGUGGGUAACCUGCCUUAUACAGGGGGAUAACAGUCAGAAAUGGCUGCUAAUACCGCAUAAGCGCACAGAGCUGCAUGGCUCAGUGUGAAAAACUCCGGUGGUAUAAGAUGGACCCGCGUUGGAUUAGCUAGUUGGUGGGGUAACGGCCCACCAAGGCGACGAUCCAUAGCCGGCCUGGGAGGGUGAACGGCCACAUUGGGACUGAGACACGGACCAGACUCCUACGGGAGGCAGCAGUGGGGAAUAUUGCACAAUGGGGGAAACCCUGAUGCAGCGACGCCGCGUGAAGGAAGAAGUAUCUCGGUAUGUAAACUUCUAUCAGCAGGGAAGAUAGUGACGGUACCUGACUAAGAAGCCCCGGCUAACUACGUG
rnacentral:rRNA from 1 species